ensembl:snRNA U6 U6 spliceosomal RNA
UUGUUCUCAUUUUGUUAGCAAAUUCACUAAAACUGAAGCACUACAGAGAAGAUUAGCAUGGCCCUCACACAAGGAUGAUAUGCAAGUUCUGGAAGCAUUCCAUAUUUUU